rnacentral:rRNA from 1 species
AGUGAACGCUGGCGGUAGGCCUAACACAUGCAAGUCGAACGGCAGCACAGUAAGAGCUUGCUCUUACGGGUGGCGAGUGGCGGACGGGUGAGGAAUACAUCGGAAUCUACUUUUUCGUGGGGGAUAACGUAGGGAAACUUACGCUAAUACCGCAUACGACCUACGGGUGAAAGCAGGGGAUCUUCGGACCUUGCGCGAUUGAAUGAGCCGAUGUCGGAUUAGCUAGUUGGCGGGGUAAAGGCCCACCAAGGCGACGAUCCGUAGCUGGUCUGAGAGGAUGAUCAGCCACACUGGAACUGAGACACGGUCCAGACUCCUACGGGAGGCAGCAGUGGGGAAUAUUGGACAAUGGGCGAAAGCCUGAUGCAGCCAUACCGCGUGAGUGAAGAAGGCCUUCGGGUUGUAAAGCCCUUUUGUUGGGAAAGAAAAGCAGCAGGUUAAUACCCCGCUGUUCUGACGGUACCCAAAGAAUAAGCACCGGCUAACUUCGUG